AUAUAAGGAGCCGCAUCCGCCCCAGUGCCGCAGGUUCUCUUACAUCGACCGCCUAAGAGUCGCGCUGUAAGAAGCAACACCUCCUCUCGCCUCCGCCAUCCGCCCGGCAACCGCGAAGCAGCAACCAUGCGUGAGUGCAUCUCCAUCCAUGUUGGCCAGGCUGGUGUCCAGAUCGGCAAUGCCUGCUGGGAGCUCUACUGCCUGGAACAUGGCAU